rnacentral:rRNA from 1 species
GAUGAACGCUGGCGGCGUGCCUAAUACAUGCAAGUCGAACGCUGGAGAUCUAGCUUGCUAGAUCGAAGGAGUGGCGAACGGGUGAGUAAUACAUAAGCAACCUACCCACGAAGACUGGGAUAAUCUCUGGAAACGGGGACUAAUACCGGAUAGGUAAUCGGAAGGCAUCUUCUGGUUAUUAAAGGUUAAAAACACUGGUGGAUGGGCUUAUGGCGCAUUAGUUAGUUGGUGAGGUAACGGCCCACCAAGACGAUGAUGCGUAGCCGGCCUGAGAGGGUGAACGGCCACAUUGGGACUGAGACACGGCCCAGACGCCUACGGGAGGCAGCAGUAGGGAAUUGUCGGCAAUGGGGGCAACCCUGACCGAGCAACGCCGCGUGAGUGAAGACGGCCUUCGGGUUGUAAAGCUCUGUUGUAAGGGAAGAACGGUAGAUAGAGAAUAUCUAAGUGACGGUACCUUACCAGAAAGCCACGGCUAACUACGUG